UGGCGGACGGGUGAGUAAUGUCUGGGAAACUGCCUGAUGGAGGGGGAUAACUACUGGAAACGGUAGCUAAUACCGCAUAACGUCGCAAGACCAAAGAGGGGACCUUCGGGCCUCUUGCCAUCGGAUGUGCCCAGAUGGGAUUAGCUAGUAGGUGGGGUAACGGCUCACCUAGGCGACGAUCCCUAGCUGGUCUGAGAGGAUGACCAGCCACGCUGGAACUGAGACACGGUCCAG
rnacentral:rRNA from 1 species